GACGUAGGGCGCGAGCGUUGUCCGGAUUUACUGGGCGUAAGGGCGCGUAGGCGGUCGUGACAAGUCACUUGUGAAAUCUCCGGGCUUAACUCGGAACGGUCAAGUGAUACUGUCGGACUAGAGUACAGAAGGGGCAACUGGAAUUCUCGGUGUAGCGGUGAAAUGCGUAGAUAUCGAGAGGAACACCUGCGGCGAAGGCGGGUUGCUGGGCUGAUACUGACGCUGAGGCGCGAAAGCCAGGGGAGCGAACGGG
rnacentral:rRNA from 1 species